UGGGGAAUUUUGGACAAUGGGCGAAAGCCUGAUCCAGCAAUGCCGCGUGUGUGAAGAAGGCCUUCGGGUUGUAAAGCACUUUUGUCCGGAAAGAAAUCCUUGGCUCUAAUACAGUCGGGGGAUGACGGUACCGGAAGAAUAAGCACCGGCUAACUACGUGCCAGCAGCCGCGGUAAUACGUAGGGUGCAAGCGUUAAUCGGAAUUACUGGGCGUAAAGCGUGCGCAGGCGGUUUGCUAAGACCGAUGUGAAAUCCCCGGGCUCAACCUGGGAACUGCAUUGGUGACUGGCAGGCUAGAGUAUGGCAGAGGGGGGUAGAAUUCCACGUGUAGCAGUGAAAUGCGUAGAGAUGUGGAGGAAUACCGAUGGCGAAGGCAGCCCCCUGGGCCAAUACUGACGCUCAUGCACGAAAGCGUGGGGAGCAAACAGGAUUAGAUACCCUGGUAGUCCACGCCCUAAACGAUGUCAACUAGUUGUUGGGAUUCAUUCUUAAUAACGUGCUAACGCGUGAAGUUGACCGCCUGGGGAGUACGGUCGCAAGAUUAAAACUCAAA
rnacentral:rRNA from 1 species